GACCUAGUACAUGGUGAGGCAAGUUGGCUCGACAAAUUCUACCCAAAGUAGGGGGUCGGCCGACCCCCUCUUUGACGGACAACGGGAACAGAAGCUUGCAAAGGUACAUCAUCAACAAUGGGAAUUCAAAUGGCAGCAAUGGGCAAGCCGAAGUGGGGUCGGCCGACCCCACCUUGGAGCCCUGGACCCACCGUUCAGCAUCCACUCAACGUCUACCUGCCUUCUGUCUCGUUUGCCACUCCAACUCCCCCUCUGUUCUUUGAUUUUUAUUACUUCUGUCUCUUGUUUGCUUUAUUAGAUAAAAUAAAAAAAUAAAAACGAGAAGACUUGGAUCUAUGAUUUAUGACAUUAAAAGGGUAAAAGUGUCACAAAGUCUAAUUCUUUCAUAUGCUUAUACUUGUGGGUCAUAUAUCUUGAUAGGAAUACCAUAAUGACUUGAUUGUUGAGAAUUGUGAUAUAGUUCUUAACUCAUGAUUCAUACCCUUUAUAUUCAAAGUGCUUAGAGAUUUAUUUUUGAAAAUAUCAUAAAACCAUAGUGUCACUUACUCCUCAAUAGUAAGAGAAUUCCUACCACAGCCAUAUAUGUUCAUACCUUGUUCAAAACCCUUCUAUAUAUGCUACUUGUACUUGUGUUGAGUUUAGUCAAACCUUGUGACCCUAGUUGAGAAUUAUGUCAUAGUCCCAAGAUCAAGAUCACAAACACACCACAUAUAUAUGCUGCUUCUACACUGGAAGUACGCAAAAAUAGGCCAUCCAUUUUACCAUAUAGAAGCUCCUUGUUUUAAGGUUUAGAAUAUCUCUCUCAAAUUAUUGUUUAUAAGAUGAGACACAAAGGCUAUGCUUAGUAAAAAAAAGUGGGCACAUGAAGGUCAAUUCCUUUUAAAAAAAAAGAAAAAAAACUAGCCAGGUCUCAAAUAAAAUAGAGAGAGAUCUUAUUAAAUAGAGGAGCAUUCUAUUCUAAUCAUUAUUCACACACUUACACAUCAUGAUCUAGGAUUAUGACAUUCUUCUCCUUGGAUCCUUGUUUUGACUUUACAAUAGAUACAAUACAAGUAUGCUAUCUUGUUUCUCCCUACCUGAGCCCCAUAAGCCUAUUAGAUGUAGCAUGAAACAAAAGAAGGCAAUCUUAUGCUAUGCCUUGGUGAGGAAUCCUAUACUUGCUGAGUGACUUAAGAGUACUAUUAGAGGAGUAAGGAUGAACUAUGUGCUUUCUUUUAAAACAUUUAUCAAAAACUCUAAGUACAAAUGAUAUGAAAAUGGGAAGAUGUCUUUGCUUUGAGAACUGCUCCAUUUUUCAACAUCCUAAGGAUAUAUGUUGGACAGUGCCACAUAACCCACUUGUAUAAGAUAUGUCUUGAGUAGUCUUUGUGUUUACUUAUAUCUUAAAUGUGUCAUAAUCAUAGGUUAUCUUUCUCUAACCUUUUCUCGAGGACAAGCAAAGACUUAUGUGUGGGGGUUCUUGUUGAUGGUAGAUAAGCCCUAUUUUUACCCCAUCAAAACCGUCAACAAUACAUUCUUUUUGGAAGAAAAUCACCAAACCCAUAGUGUCUUAGGUACAAAUAACUUGGUUCCACAUGUACAUGUCAUCAUUUGGAUGCAGGUGUGCAAUCGACUACUUUUCAGGGUUAAGAAGCUCUAUAUGAAGGUUGGACUACCACCCUAGAAUGCCCAAUUGGAAAACCAACUUCACAUUCAUCAAUCUCAUAGCUUCUGGAGACAAUGUGCAAAAGAUGGGCACAUUAGUGGGGUCGGCCGAUCCCACCUUUGUGGGCCUAGCACCACCACUGUGCUCAUAAUGUCACCAGGAAGUCACCUGCAGAAGAUGAACCUUUGGUUCUACCAAAGUGGGAUCAACCGAUCCCACUACGGGGCCAUCCAGCCACCUGGUUUGCACCAACCGACAUGCAUGGAUUCCUUCUAGAAGACAACACCGGUCCCACCUGUCAUUGGGUGGGUCGGCCUACCCUAAGGUUGGGAGCUUCCAAGGUCGGUUGCACCCCACCGACGUCCCCAUGAUGAACAUGUGAUGGAAAUCCCCAACUGUUGAUCAUAUGGCGGUUCCAAGGUCAGUUUAUCCAAUGGUGCAUGCUGGAGGUCACGCAGAUUGCUGACGUGGUAGUGGAGUAGCCCAUACUCCACAUCCUGAUAUAAAUACCCCCUAUAGGCCUUCAUCUCAUAUCAUCUCACACUUCAAGAUCCACUUGUUACAAUGUAGGGUAGUAGUAGUUAGUCUAGUGUGGGAGUUAGAGUUGAGUCGAGCGAAGCUCGGAGUCUCCAGAGUCGUCUUCUAGAGAGUCUAGUAUUCCUCUUUACCUUUUCUCUUGUAAGACUUUGAAUAUUUAAUAUAUUUACUUUUCCUUUACUCUUCUAAGUAUUUACUUUUAGUAUUUGCUUAGUGCAAUAUUCUAUUGUAGUGUCCUAGUCUGUCUUAUAGUAGUUAUAUACUAGCUAAGUUAGUCUUAAGUACUUGGGUUGUUUUCUCUGCCGGUAACACGGUGCUUGGACUAGGUCGUAUACUUAGUCUGAGUAGUAGGAGUUAGCAUAAGCAUGGUGCUUAGACUAAAGCCUACCCUUGAAUACCACCAUAUCAAACGUGAUAGCGGGCGGCGGUGAAGCGUGACAGGCCUCUGCUUGCCAGUACGUUCUAUUCACAUCGGGUACGAUCUGUAGGCGCCCAUAAGAAACGAGUCCGCUUGGAUAGGAGUUUUGUCCUCCUAUUGCAGUCAACUUCCAACAAACAAGUAGUUAAGUUUAGUGAAGUUAGUGUGUGUCAGCUACUAGAUUAGAUUGGUUCACAGGAGUAAAGUUAGAGUCAUAGGAGUCUAUACUCACUCGUUGUCCUCCCACAUAGCAAGCUCUCUACCAUUUAUCUUUAGAUUAGGAUCUGUGUGAGAUCACUUACCUAUUCUUGACCCUUUGGAUGACCUUGAGCCUAGUAAGUUCACUUCACAUUCCCCGUGGAAAAUACAAUACCUAGAAUACUCCCGGUGAAAGCUACAUUAACUAUCGUACGCUUGCGGUAUUUCCGUUUGCCACUUCUAGAGUCAACAGGCUUUCUGGCACUAUUGUAGGGAUGGACUUUUAGUCUAUCUUUUGUGAUGACACUAUGAAUUGCCAACAAUGCAUAUCCAGUACCACAAAGUCUACUGGCACGAACAAGUCUCUUAUCUUGAUAGGAAUAUAUUCGGCAAUGCCCAAAGGAUAUCAGACUGAUUGGUCAGCCAGCUGAAGACACAUUGCUGUUGGCUCAAGUGCAGUGUGAUUAAGCUUGUAGUAGAUGUUGAUGGUCCUUAAGUAUCAAAUUUAACUAUCAAAUAAAUAAAGAAAAGGAUCCAAAUGCAACCGACAUCUAGACUUAGGGUUUUAUCUGACAGAAUUCCACGAGUUUUGGUGUUUGUCUAUUUCUACAGGGGGUUAUCAGGAAUUAUGGAAGAAAGGCCCACACAUCGGGUUUACAUAGAGAUAUUAACAUGCCGCGCAAUUUUCUAUCAUCUAGAAGACUCCAGAAGCCACAGGAAUGAACGGGAAGCCGAGCGGGCUCGGGGGCAGGGCGCCCGCCCAGCUACAGAGUCCAAUUAGGACUCGUUUCGUGGAUUACGCUCCACCGACCUAAAGGAUCAAGAAUAACCGUUCAAUCAAUGUCGGUCUGAUCCGACGGCCCAAAUUCACUUGAGGGGACUAUAUAAGCAGACCCCCUGGCCCCUGGAGGAGGUGCCCCUUGAUCAUUAUUCAUUAUUCCUAGACAGAGCAAAAGCUAGGGUUUGAGAUGAGAGCUCUCCUCUCCUCUAAACUAGAGUAGAUCAUAGUAGCGAGAUGGAGAGUGAGGGUGGAUUGCAGGAGAGCCCGGCCUGUCGGUUCUUCCUCCGGUUGUACUUCGUCAUGAUCAAGCUCUAAUCAAGCUUGCUCAUGGGAUGACUCUGGUAAUCUACUUCUAAUUCAUUAUGCAAUUACUAAUCAUGUAUGUUCUGGUUCACAACUCUUUUGAGUACUUUAAUCUAUAGGACGCUAUAGGUGAGAGUUGUAGUAUAGGUGUAAGCGUGGUGCUCAGACCUAGAUUACUUAUGGAUAUCCCCUGUCUAGCUGGAUCGUGUGGUAGGCCGCGUAGGUGAUAGUUAUGUUGGUCCCCUGUAGUCCACCUCUUGUUAACAGGACGGGUAGGGUUUAUUGGCCUACGGAUAAGCAUCCUUUGUGGUGUAUUCUUAUCACGUGGUUCGUCCCAGACAUAGACAUACCCCUUUGAAGUAGAGAAAUCAUAGUUAUCCUCUCUAUUCUCCUACCAUCGCCCAUAUAUUAGAUUGCUCUACUCUCUAUUCCCAUAUUAUCACCCAUUGUUAUCUUACCUUUAAUAUUGUUAUUAUUUAAUUCUACCAUCUUUCCUAUUUACACCUAUCUAUCUAUCUUGGUUAAGUUAGAGCGUAGUUGGUUCUCCUGUUUCCCUGUGGAUACGAUAAAACCUUUAACUGGGUAAAAGCUACAACGGUAUCUGUGCGCUUGCGGAUUUAUCUGUGUGCGUAUAAAUACCAUAGUACACUCUAGUGCCAUGUUGGGGAUGACAACCUAGUAUUCAAGUGGUGUUAGCAAGUGUGAACAAGCAUUUUUGGCGCCGUUGCCGGGGAGACGGUUGUUGAGUUGACUACGAACUAGCUUAAUCAUUUUCUAAAAAAUAAAAAUAUAUAUAUAUAUUUUUUCCUUUUAUCCUUUGCCUCAUCUCUGCUAUUCUUUCCUCUUAUCUAAUCCUUGAUCUCUGGUCUAUCAUGAAUUCAAACAUGUCUAUCUACGAAUUUCAUAGACCUACUGGCACACAUCUCGAACCACCAAAAUAUUCAAAGCCUAUCAUAGCAUCUAGUUUUGUGAUAGACCCCAAAUACAUAGAAUUUGUUCAAAAACAACCUUUCUCAGGAGAAGGUGAAGAAAACCCAUACACACACCUAAGAGUGUUUUAUCGAGUCUGUGACCUCCUUCGCAUAGAAGGCAUGUCCGAUGAGACCCUUAAAUGGAAGCUCUUUCUGUUCUCUUUAACAGGAAAAGCUAGACAUUGGUAUAAACUCAAAGUAGGGAGUGUUCAUGGAGAUUGGAAGGAGUUACAUAAUAGUUUUCUUUUAAAAUAUUUUCCAAUCUCUAAAGUGGCGGAACUUCGGCGUGAGAUUAUUUCUUUUAGACAACUGGAAGAAGAAUCUCUUGGCAAAUCAUGGGACCACUUUAUUAACCUUAUUCUCACUGGCCCAAAGCUUUCUAUUCCACAAGAAGUUCUUCUAAUUCACUUUUUUGAGGGCCUUAGUAUGGAAAAUAAGCAAACAUUGAAUACAGCCUCCAGAGGAUCUUUCCACCACCUAUCCGCUAGUGAAGCUUGGAAUUUGAUUGACUUAAUGAGCGGAAAGUAUCCUAGCUUUUAUAUCCUUGAGAAAAAGAAAGAACUAGUUCCUAGACAAGAAUAAGAAGUUUCGAUAGCCAGAUCACAACCACUUAAUUCCAAACUUUAGCUAUCGAUCCUAAACCAUCAAUACCCCAAAAUUCUCCAAGGGAGGAAGGAAUUCCAACCUUAAAUCUUUCAGAUACUGAUGGUUUAGACUUCUUGUUCCAUGACAAGCAUAGAUAAUUCAAAUCCUUGCAAUAAUGUUUCUCUUAGAGAAUGUCCUGGUUCCUAUUAUGAAGAAGUCGAGGAUGGCAUGUCAAGUAAUGCCUUAGAAGGAGAGCUAAGCUAUAUGGAAGAUUCUAUCAGCUCCCCUUUCCUGAUCACAAGUUACAAAUGGCUAGAAUGUGUAGAAUGGAUGGAUAAGGAAGAAGCCUUAAUGGAUUCUGAGUUUGGCUCAAUUUCAAAUGGUGAGUUCUUGACUCCCUUCGAAGAUGAGAUUCAUCCAACUACAGAAGAGGACAUAGGAGAAACCAAUCCAGGAGAAAUUCCGAACAUUCAAAUUGGAGACGAAGAUAACAUUAAUGAGCAUGGAAUUUAUUUCAUAGCCACCUCAUUUACUCCAUGCUCAUAUGCAACAUCUUCCCAAUCUAUUGGUCUCCCCAACAUCACCACAUCUGAGAUCUCCAACCCCCUCUUUCUUCCUAUUUAUAAAAACUUUAAAAGGGCAGUUUUCGAUGCAUAUGUCUAUAAUAAAUAUUGCAGAUCUCGUUGAGUUGAUCUUGAUAUACGUCAGUGUUGGAAGGGAAACCACUUCGCCGACAUAAAUUGAUGGUUUCCCAAGGACAAACUUAGUGUCUUAAAAUAAGCACUGAUCAGAUCAUAACAUGAGCUUUUAAUUAUUUACAACAUUACCUUGUGUAUUGAGCAUAUAAGGAUAAUUGUAAAAAUAUUCCUUCGGGUACUCUUGUCACUAACCUUUCCAGGAUUUGAGCAAGAAGAUUGGAUGAAUGACAAGUACAAGGUAUGUCCAACCAAUCAUCAUACAACAUUGAAUUACAUCCAAACUUGGAUUUUGCAAAAUUCAAGCUUGGGGGAGUAAUUUACAUCCUUUGCCAUGUUGCUAUGUUGGUUGUCCCUACCUUUGAGACAUGCUCAAUUUGUUAAAUACUAAUCACACUACUUCAUCUCCACUUGAGUAGAUCUCUAUAAAUGCUCCCAUGCUACCUUUAUGUGCUUUAGUAUAUGUCUAGGUUUGGAGUAGUUCAUUUAUCUCUUAAAUAAGCAUUUUGCUUAGUUUAGGAAUGAUGAUCUUACUUCCAAGGGAUUUUAAAUUAAGCAUGGUGCUUAGGUUAAAAUGCCCUAGGUUGAUUUUUGAUCCGAUAGUAUGCUAUAGUAGAUAUUGGAUAUUUUGUUGGACUAACCCCUGCAGGAAAACUUUCAAUAUCAAACUUGGAAGUCCUGAGAUAAACUCAAAUUGGAGACAAAGAGAGAGACACAUCAAGUUUAACAAUUUACACAAGGAAGACGUAGCUCAUAAGAGAUGAUACAUGGAGGAUGCCACAAACACGAUGCACAACCGCUAUGAAAGGAAAGCUUCCACAAGGUGAUACUGUACCAUCACUCUUCAAGUAAGGUAACAUCUUAAUAUACUUGAUUAUCACUUUUAUAAGCUUCUCCUUGGUUCUAGUGUUCACAUGAAUAAAAGAGACAAACAUGUAUGAUUUAUAACUCCAAAUUAACCAACCCAACUGAUUCAACAUGUUUAGUCCUUUAAUCUUUGCUCCUAGUACUCCCUCCAUGAUCCCACACUCCUAAUCAUAUGAGCUAAAAUGUUACACAUUCAAUCUUUGAGAGAUAUAAAGAAAAAGACAUAUACAUAGAUAGAUUAUCUUUCCACAAGGUUGAGCGAUCUGAUCUGACAAAUGUUAUAAGUACUACACUCAUGAACUUAUCAUCCAUCAACUUUGUCUUGCUCACUAUGCUUAAGGUUAGAGAAGAACAAAUACACUUUUGGUUCUGUUGGUGUUUUCCACCAACAGGACCCAUGCACUUGAUCUCUGCCUUGUCUCUAUGAGCAGGUACACUUCGAGCAAAAUAUGGAGGAGUUUUACAACUCCCAGACUCCACCAAGUGAACAACCUGGAUCUAUGAGCACAAACACACUGAACAAGAUACUACCAACACCGCACUUUGAACUGCUAGGCAAAUGAAGAACAUGGGUGACACCGUAUCAAGAGGUGCAGACGUCAAGGUCCACACCUGAAUCAAAUGACGCACCUAAAGAAUGAACACAGUGAGAAGUCUUGUUCAGAAGACUUAAAACAUUGAACCCUCGCCGAAAGGUAAAAUCGGUAAUUAUCCAUAUUUAUCCUUUCUACAUUCCCUUUUCCCUUUUAUUAUUUACUUUCCUUAAAUAGCUUGUUAAUUAAUCAUGCUAUCUUGAAAAGAAAUUAAAAAUGUUAAAAACAGUAAGCCCCAUGUGAGUAUGCUCGUGGCAUAAAACCCAUAAGUACGUUCACUGUGGUGGCGUAAAAAUAAAAUAAAUAUAUUCCUAUCAUAUAAAAAUGAAAAUAUAAAAAUAAAUUUAUGAUCCUACCAAAGAGAGUAAUAUUUAUUGGAGGAGGCUCAACAUGAUAAAGGCUAGAUAUUUAUGCUAACACUUAACUAGUUCCACAAAGCUUUAUUGUCUAUUUGAGCUCCACAGAAUUCAAGGAUCAAAGAAGACUAGCAGACGGAGGACGUCCUAAUCGCUGUGAGGGUACUGCCGACAUUCAAAUACACCUCCACCACCUGCUAGCUACAUCAGAAGAAAUUACGUCAAAAUCCAGCUUGGGGGAGAGCACCCCCAUUUAUCCAGCUAAGUGUUUCUACUCGCGUUUAUACUUUAGUCAAAUAAUAAAAAGAUGCAUAAUCAGAAAAACUCAAAUAAAGAUUUUUGUGCUUAUAUAUAUCUUUGCUUAGUUUGCUAAAUAAAUAAAUAAAUGAAGUUUGCUAUGAACUCUCAUGAUAAGCUCUCACAUAAAAUGGUCGUUACGCUCCNNNNNNNNNNNNNNNNNNNNNNNNNNNNNNNNNNNNNNNNNNNNNNNNNNNNNNNNNNNNNNNNNNNNNNNNNNNNNNNNNNNNNNNNNNNNNNNNNNNNNNNNNNNNNNNNNNNNNNNNNNNNNNNNNNNNNNNNNNNNNNNNNNNNNNNNNNNNNNNNNNNNNNNNNNNNNNNNNNNNNNNNNNNNNNNNNNNNNNAAAAAUUCACUUGCACGUUCACUAAUACAUGCUGCUUCUACUCCGGAAGUACGCAUCCACAUACAUCCACUCAUUUCCAUCUCCAGAUUCACCCAAAAUUAUUCUACUCCUAUCCAAGAGAGAAUAGCCAAAAACAUUAUCCUAUCCCUGUUAUUCCCCGUGAAAUAAAUGCUCGAGGUAUUUUGGUUACUACCACUUGCUACAUUAUUCUAGGAGGGUGAGUGCUCUGAAAAAAAGAAGAAAGAUACGAGGAAAUAAAAAGGGUCAAGUGCCCGAAACCUCGAAGAAAAGAAAAAGUGAGACGAGAGGUAAAAAUGUACAAGUGUCCGACAGUAGAAUUAGGGGUACAACAUACCCACCUGAGAUGAAAGAAAAAAAAUAAAUAAUAUAGAGCAUCUCAUUCUUCUCAAAAAUCUUCAAAAGAGCAAGAACGGUAUGUAUCCCCUCAAAAGAGCAAAAAGUAGAAUUAGACUUUCACCAUUGUUAUCACCAUACACCAUUCAUUCGCCACACAUACACAUCUUGAUUUGACUUAUUGACUUGUUUCUCUGUAUCCAUGGUUUGACUAUGCAAUAAAUGUCUUAUAAGUAUGUAUUAGCUUUCUCCCACCUAUGAGCUUCAGAUAUCAAAACCGUAUUAGAGUAGGGUGAGAGAGAAGGCAAUGUCACUAUGCCUCAUACUACAUAUACCAUAUGCUUUGAGAGAAGGCAUAUACCAUCACUGCCUUGGUAAGGAUCCAGAAAUACCACAAAAGAGAGAAUUGAGAGAGUCAUACAAGGAAUCUCUGAGUUUUAUUUGAAAACUUGCAAAAACUCCAGAGCUAUAGUUGAUCAAAGAACAAGAGACAUGGUGCUUGACUUGACCGUUCUAUCUAUUAACUGCUCGAGACACAAGUGACGGUUGCAAGCCCCAUGGUGAAACGUAAAAUGAGUAAGUUUUAAGUCUUAACAGUUUACUUUAACUCAGAGAUGAGAUCUUGUUUGAACGCAUGUGUACCUUUAAGGCAUAAAACCACUGUAGAAACUCUUGAGUCCAUCCUUGCUUAGGGACGAGCAAGAGGUAAGCUUGAGGGAGUUGUUGACGGUCCUUAAGUAUCAAAUUUAACUAUAAAAAAAUAAAGAAAAGGAUCCAAAUGCAACCGACAUCCAGACUUAGGGUUUUAUCUGAUAGAAUUCCAUGAGUUUUGGUGUUUGUCUAUUUCUACAGGGGGUUAUCAGGAAUUAUGGAAGAAAGGCCCAGACGUCGGGUUUACAUAGAGAUAUUAACGUGUUGCGCAAUUUUCUAUCAUCUAGAAGACUCCAGAAGCCACAGGAACGAACGGGAAGCCGAGCAGGCUCGGGGGCCGGGCGCCCACCCUCCCCCCUUGGGCGCCCGCCCAGCUACAGAAUCCAAUCAGGACUCGUUUCGUAGAUUAUGCUCCACUGAACUAAUGGAUCAAGAAUAACCGUUCAAUCAAUGUCGGUUUGAUCCGACGGCCCAGAUUCACUUGAGGGGACUAUAUAAGCAGACCCCCUGGCCCCUGGAGGAGGCACCCCUUGAUCAUUAUUCAUUAUUCAUAGACAGAGCAAAAGCUAGGGUUUGGAGAUGAGAGCUCUCCUCUCUUCUCCAAACUAGAGUAGAUCUAGAUAGUAGCGAGAUGGAGAGCGAGGGUGGAUUGGAGGAGAGGCCGGCCUUUCGGUUCUUACUCCGGUUGUACUUCGUCAUGAUCAAGCUCUAAUCGAGCUUGCUCAUGGGAUGACUCUAGUAAUCUACUUCUAAUUCAUUAUGCAAUUACUAAUCAUGUAUGUUCUGGUUCACAACUCUUUAUUGAGUACUUUAAUCUAUAGGACGCUAUAGGUGAGAGUUGUAAUAUAGGUGUAAGCGUGGUGCUUAGACCUAGAUUACUUGUGGAUAUCCCCUGUCUAGCUGGAUCGUGUGGUAGGCCGCGUAGGUGACAGUUACAUUGGUCCCCUGUAGUCCACCUCUUAUUAGCAGGACGGGUAGGGUUUAUCGGCCUAUGGAUAAACAUCCUUUGUGGUGUAUUCUUAUCACGUGGUUCAUCCCACACAUAGACAUGAACCUUUGAAGUAGAGAAAUCAUAGUUAUCCUCUCUAUUCUCCUACCAUCGCCCAUAUAUUAGAUUGCUCUACUCUCUAUUCCCAUAUUAUCACCAAUUGUUAUCUUACCUUUAAUAUUGUUAUUAUUUAAUUCUACCAUCUUUCCUAUUUACACCUAUCUAUCUAUCUUGGUUAAGUUAGAGCGUAGUUGGUUCUCCUGUUUCCCUGUGGAUACGAUAAAACCUUUAACCGGGUAAAAGCUACAAUGGUAUUCGUGCGCUUGCGGAUUUAUCUGUGUGCGUAUAAAUACCAUAGUACACUCUAGUGCCAUGCUGGGGAUGACAACCUAGUAUUCAAGUGGUGUUAGCAAGUGUCAACAGUAGACAGAAGCGGGCAUCACACUGACACUUGCUCCAAGGUCACAGAGUGCAUUGUUGAAAUGUUGAUCUCCAAUUGUGCAUUCGAUAGUCGGACAUCCUGGAUCCAUUUUCUUUUCUGGUAACUUGUUGAGGAUGGCCGCACUAUAUUCUUCUAUGAGCUUGAUUACUUUAGUGGAUUGUAGAGGUCUCUUCUUGUUGAGAAUGUCUCUAAUGUACUUGGCAUAUGUAGGGACCUCUAUGGCAUUUAACAGAGGUAUGUUGAUCUAUAAUUUUUGAAGUACCUCCAUGAACUUACUAAACUGCUCAUCUACUUGUUGUGGUCUUCUAUUCUGACGACGAAAUGGUAGGUAAUUGGUGUCUUGAAAAUCUUGUCUCAUCUCGUGGUCUUGGACCGGUUGUGGUAGUGUGUCUUUAAGAAUGUUGUUCUCAUUGUGCACCAUUGUUCGUAAUGUUGAUGGCAUUGGCAAUGGUCUUUUGGUACCUUUUGGGUAGGGAGGAUCUUUGGUAGAACUUCCUCUUCUUGUAGUGAUAUUCUUUACCUACUCAGGGUUAUUGGCAACAAGCAACGCAGCAGCCAACUGUGCUAUUUUUGCUUCUAUCUUUUUAUUAUACUCAAGUUGGGCAUUAAUGGCAAAUGAGAAACUAUCCAUUUUCAUCAUUAUUAGCAAGCCUAGCUAUAAUGUCUAGGUUGAUUUUAGAUUGCUACAUAAUUAUCUCUCUUAAAGAAGUUGCUUUGUAAAAUUACCUAAAUUCAUACCUUGGCUAUUUUGAUGUUAUCUCCAAGUUGGUUGAUGUGGAAUUUUCCUGAUGGUAGGACUUGUAACAGAACCGCCCAAUUCACAAGAGAUCAACUAUGAAAAACUCCCGCCAAAGCAGUCGCUUUAACAUAAUCGAAUUCUCAUAAACCCGGUAGUCCGUGAAAUCAUGAGGGAUUUCAAUCCAACCAUCUUACAAGCCAUGAUCUUACUCCUCUAAUAUGGUACGAGUCAUCCAACUCUUGCAGUGGCCAUGAUACAUCACAACCUGCAACAAGUGGGAAUAAACCCUGAGUACGAGAAGGUACUAAGCUAGACUUACCCGUCAUAAACUAGAAAUAAUAUGACACCAAGGAGUAUGCAAGGCUUUAUUGGUGGAGCUAGCUUGACAACACUUUUUCCAUAAAAAGCUUAAGUUGUAACUAAGUAACCUUUCAGGUAUUUAGCUCAAGUUAAUAAUCAUUAACCUAUCAUCUAGAUUAGCACCUGUACUAAAGCAAUCACUUGAUUAAGAUACAACCAUAGUACCCAUAUUUGAUGUGGCAUUACCAACAUCAUCAUACCAUAACCAUCCAAGUGUUCCAUAAACAUUACUACGAUGACGAAGCUCAAGUCAAGUGCUCACUGUCCAGGAGCGAUGGCGAUUCGAAUCGAUUUCUAACCAGCUGGCGAGUUUAUUCCCCACACAAACCACACUCACUGAUCAAGUGAGCUAUAGAUCACCGUAUUGCACUAUCCAGGACCAAUUUGCGGGUUCGACAGGCACCGCCCGUACCCGAGGACCGUUCCGACGACCGAGGUAUCCAAGGUAUACCAAGGUUGAGCGCCGCGCCCUCGUCGUUCUCCUCAACCAUCACCAAUGCAGCGCGUACAUCGGGCCGAUUCCCGGCCCGGAUAGUGCUCAGGCUUCACGGUCGGAAUGACUUAUCCUUCCAGCUAAGUGUGGGGCAUGCGUUCAACAUGACAAGAGGGCCGUCAACGAUCGGUCCUUAAUCGACACAGGCGGGGAUAGAUAGGCACCCAAGACCUCCAUGUCUUGUUCCUUCUCUAUCAUCGUCCCGCCCGAUCUGCAAUUACUCAUCCUUUUCAGGUAUCCACCUAUCUCGCUCAGGUGACAGGACAUCACCUGGCUUCUACCGGUCUAAGCAUGACUAAGCAUUUAGAUUCGAUCCCGAAUCUACAUAGGGUUAUAGGUAUAUUUGCUGGACAAGGAGUGAUAUAUGCAGCAAGGGUUUCACCGAACUCCUAUACUUAAUGCAACAAUACAUAUAUAACAUAUAUUCUCAAUUGCAUUCAAAAGUAGUGGGAGACUUAUAAUGCUCGGGGGCUUGCCUGGAAUCAUCACUGAGUUAGUUCAGUUAGUUGCUCCGUCUUGGUGACAUCUAAGGUCACAACACUUGCUUAGUCCUUCCACCUUUAGGGUGGGUCCACCCAACACCGUCUUCGGGUUUGUUCCCACACCAAGACCUUCACGUGAUUCAUCUAGCGCACCUAGAUGAGAUGCAAGUGCGUGAAUAUAAAGAAUAAUAACACAACAUGCAUCACAUAAAAGUAUGCAAGACAUAGGUAUCUAAAGUUAUUUAGCUAACAUCACACAACCAGUUAUAUAGAGCAAACAUAUCAAUCAUGACACAAGUUUAACAAGUUUACAAGUGUAUUACUUAGUCACCAUUAUAGACAUGAAUCAUACUUAGAUCACACAAAGUAUUCAUGUAUUUCAGCAAUUCUGGACAUACAUGCAACAACUCAGUAAAUAAAUCAUAACUGGAGUUACACAACUCCAAAAACUAUGCAAUAGGAUAUUCUGGAAAGAUUAUCAAAUUAUCUACAAUUCAUCUUUAAUCAUAUUAGCAUGAUUAACAAGUUAACCAAGUCAAACAUGCAUGACCAUAUAAUCUGGUCCAGGAACUUCCAGAGAACAGGCAUUUCAAAGGAUGAACUUCAUACUACUGUAACUCAUAAACCACUUAUCUGAAUGAGAUGAAACUUUACCACAAUAUAAAUUAGUGAAUUAUCUACAUCUUUUCUAUAUACAAGUUUCACAGCAAACAUCAUUUAUAUCAUGGAAUUAAUCGCAUAAAUAAAACUGCUCAUGCUGCCAAACAGUAGAGGUACAAUUACACAUAGAAAACUGAUUGGCACUUCAAAGCAGCAUAACUGGAGUUGUAGACCUCCAGAAAACAUUAUUCUUAUAUCUUUGGAAAGCUUAUAACGUUACCUACAACUUUCUUAUUAUCAUCUAAAUAUGAAUCUACAGUUAACAAGGUCAAUUAAUCCCAUGAAGAUAUCUCUGUCCAAAACAUAGACAGAAUCUGUCAUGCUAUAUUAAACACCCAUAACUUGAGUUUCACGUGUCCAUAAAUUAUGGUUAUAUACUUUCUAGAAACCUUAAUUAAUGGUGAACAACUUUGUUAUAAACAUGUAUAGCUAAAUCUACAACUAAAAAGGUCUUACUUUACAAACAAUGCAACCUGUCUGGGUUUAGACAGAAACUGGAACAAUAAUUUAAACCACUAUAACUAAACAUGUGCUUAACCAAAAAUUGUGCUAUAUACCUUUCUGGAAAGCUUAUGAAAAGUACUAUAACUUAUAUAUUUUCAUUAAGGCAUGAUUCACAACUUAACUGAGCCAAACAAUACAAACAUGCAGACCUAUUCAGAAUAGGAGCAAAGCAACAAAGGGCAUUUGUUAUUUUUAGAACUCUUAAUCUAUCAAUCCUAAAAUCAUGAAAAGUUUACCAGACAUCAAUCAUCAUAUUAAAAGCAUGUCACAAUAUUUUCACAUUUAUUUGGGCAAUAACACAGCAGUUAUGAAAAAGACAAUUAUAACAAGCAAUUAAAACCUAACUGCUUAAAUCUAUUUUUGCGACUAAAACUUCAAACAAAACCAUGACAUAUUAUAGAUCUAAUGCAUAGAGAAUUUUAUAAGGAUUCCAAAAAGUCCACAUUUGCUAUUUUACAAAUUUUCUAUGAAUUACUAUGCAUUUCCAAAGUUCAUACAAGAAAUCUGCAAAAAAACAAAAGAUAAAGGAAAACGACUUUGCAUCGGGAACCCUAAACUUUCUCCGAAUCAACCCGCCGUCCAGAGCAGAGUCUUGGCUUCGCAUCUGGAACCCUGAGGUUUACCCUAUUUCCACCCGAGGUCCUCUGUCUUCUUCCUGUGAGCGACUGGAUGAACAGGUUACGAACCGUAACAGCAUCCGCAUUGGCCAUGGCCGAGCACGGCAGGGAAGGGCACCACGGCGGCGCAGCGAUGACCAGCGAGGCAAAGGCAACCUCAAUGUCGCGCGCGGCAACUCUGGCCUGCCCAGCAGUGCUCGGUGGCGGCAGUAGGCGAAGCCAUGGCGGCGGUGGCGUGGUUCUUGGCCAGGGAGCGAGCGAAGGAGAUGGGGAUGACGCUGAGGGAGUAGAGGAAACCGGGGAUGGCGCUCUGGUGCUCGUCCGGUCAUCCCCAUCCACACAGAUAGAGGCAAGGGCGAGGUGGAGGUGGCAGCCAUGGUGGGACAAGUUCUGCUGCAUGGUGACCACGUCGUCAUUUCGUCGAACGCGUGGCGGACAGCAAGGUAGAGAAGGUGGGACGCCGGUUUGAGCCACUUCUGGGCCGAAUUGGACCUUGGGCCAAAUUGGAGGUUUGUUCAUCUCGCCGUGCUCUAUAACUUUGAUUAAGAGACCAAGGUCAUGAGACCAAUAGAUUAGGAGAUAACUUGAUGUCAAGUCACGAGUGUCAACGUAUUGACGGUGAUUAGCAAAACCAAGAAUUGAUGGUCCAAACCAUGUCAAACAUGAUGCAACUUUUCACAUUACCUUCUCCAAGUAAUUGUCCACCACUUUUAUUCUUGGACUAACUUGAGUUGCUUAACAAAAACACGAGAACGCGGCAUGCCAACGGGUCAAUGUCCGUUUAGCAAUAAAAUAACUUUUUGCUGUUUUGGGAGCUACUUUUAGAUAUCCAAAUGAACUCCAAAUUUGAUGAUAGUUGAUCCAUUGGUUUCAUGAAGAAGAGUACUCCAACUCAUAUUAAGGAAUCUAAUUGAGUUACCAUAUGAAUUUGGAUAAUAAAAUGUCACAAAAAAGCUAACUUGCUGCUGUACUUCCAAGGACUUAGAAUUAUUUCUCAGGGCUAAAAAGCAGCAACUGAUUCGAACUUUGAGCCUCUGUUUGAGCUAUUUUAAAACUGAUUUGGUUCUUGACUCUUGAAUGAAGUUUCUUCUACAGAAGCAAAACUACAACUUUUAUUUAGGGUCAAACCUCAUAACUGCAACAGAAGUCAAUCUUUCACUUUGGUCAAUGCAGUAACCCGAUAAAGCUCCAAAUAGGAUUUUAGGCCAAUUGAAGCAUUUUCUUAACAUAAGCUCAACAUGAAUCCUUCAUGACUUUUGUUGUAUAAUUCAUCUAGAGUCAUAUGAGCAAGUUUGGAAGGUUUGGUUCAUGACCCAUGAUUCUAUUUCCUUAAUAGAGUCAUUCCAACAAGGAUAUAACUCAUCAUUUCAUGUGACUUCUUGAUUCCAAACUUCACCAAACUUUUCUAGAGACCAAUAUAGAUUGGGAUGGAUAUGAGACACAUGAAAAAUGUUCCACUAACACCAUCCAAGUAUACCUUUCAAAAAGGGCAUAUAUGUAAGUAAAGGUGCAUCAUCCAUGUCCAAGUUAGGGCUUACUUUCAUAGAUUGACUUUGACCUUUUUAUUGCCAUUGAACUUGUCAUGUUUGAGCUCAAACCUAGUACUUAGCAAGUGACAAACACCUGGGGUGUUACAGCCUUCCCCCCUUAAAAGAAUCUCGUCCCGAGAUUCGGUGCAAAACACUUGCAAGGGAAGAAAACAAUGUCACACAUUUUCCAACAUUAACGAUAGAAGUGGGUGACUUAGCUUAGAGCAUCAGAAAAGCUAACUUGAUCCGAACAUUUUCUGAUACUUGUCCAUCAUAGUAAACCUUUAUCUGGAGAAUCUCCUCUUUUGUUUGACUUCAGUGAAGUAUUGUUACAUUGGGAGGAAUCCAAGACAACACUGUUCCAUGUACUUUGUUCCUAGUUGUUUAUAGCAUAAGGGGCUACUUGUACCAUUAGCUUCUUUAGUCAAACUAAUGCAAGCCAUAUGAACUUCACACCAGGUCACAAGCCUCUAAGGGUUGCUCAUUAUAGAGGUUCCAGGCUCAUUCACAAGAUUUGAAAAGCAGCCCUCUACCAACAUGGUUGGAUUACAACUUUCCACGCAUGCAGUUCUCUUUCUCUGAUGACAACAUUGUACUUACCACCUGGUUAAGAGAACGGUGAAUGUGAUAGCUGACUCUGUUGGUUUCACGCCUUCCAUGAUCAUUUACUUUAAUGGGAUUCUUGUAUCCAAACAACAACAGUUAUCUAGGUCGGAUCAGAUGUAACUUCUUGGGCAAUACAUAGAGGGUAACAAAGGCAUGUAAGAAUUAGAUAACCACUACUGACAAAGGAUGAUUGUGGGGCCUAUAGGUCUUCAACUACUGCAAGUGUUCAACCAACUAAAGAAAUAAUUUACCACCAAGUAGGUUAAGCAUUACCUUUCUUCAUGAUGCAGUUGCAUAAUAGUUAGGUUGACUUGUUCCAUAGCAAAACCAAUCCAUUGGAACUACUUUUCCCUUUAUGGCUUCCUUUUUAGGAUCAGUCAGUAGCUCAAUUAGUGCGUGGGAAAGAACCAAGUAUUUCCAUUGGAACCAAUCCAUUGGAACUACUGAUCCAUUGGAACCAAUCCAUUGGAACUACUGAUCCAUUGGAACCAAUCCAUUGGAACUACUGAUCCAACUCAGGCCAACUGCAUACCAAGAUACAUCCCCCUUGCAGUUAGUGCGUGGGAAAGAACCAAGUAUUUCCCAUCUGCGAAUAUUUGGCUACGUAGUGUACGUGCCAAUACCACCACCCCAGCGUACUGCAAUGGGACCCCACCGGAAGUUGGGGAUAUAUGUUGGGUUAUGUGACUCCGUCCAUAAUCAAAUAUUUAGAACCUAUGACUGGGGAUCUUCAUACGGCUCGGUACACGGAUCGUGUCUUUGAUGAAGACAAUUUCCUAGCAUUACGGGGAGAUAGGCAUCCAGAAGAAUGCCGGGAAAUUGAAUGGAAUGCAUCAGGGAUGCAAUCCUUAGAACCACGCACUAGCGAAUCUGAACUGGAAGUUCAGAGAAUUAUUCUUUGCAAGGUCUUGCAAAUGAGCUGCCAGAUGCCUUCACUGAUCACAAAAGGGUGAGAAGGUCGCAUAUACUUGCAGUAAAUGCGCAGGAGAGAGUUCAGGUACCCUAGAUGGCUACCAACUCUAUAGUCUCCCCUAAUCCUAGGAUGAGGGGGAGACCUCUAGGUGCUCAGGACAAGGUCCUGCGGAGACGUCCGCAGAGGCGACGGUCUAAGACACUUGCACCACUCGAAGAAUCAGUUGAAAAGGCUCGACCCGAAGUCGAGAAUGCCCUAGAAGUGGCAACUCAACCUAAAGUUGAGGAAGCCCUUGAAGGACACCAUCCUGAAGAUGGAAAUCCCAAUGCGUCGCGUGCACAUCAUCGUAUUGGAAGAUCGAAACGCCCCAACUCAAUCGUUACGGGAAAUCACGAUGGGUGGGAGGACGAUCAUGAGGAGAUCGCCACUAAUUAUGUGGAAUCAGGAGAGUCAUAUCAUAGAAAGACCACUAUUGUCGACAUAUAUUGUGCCUCAAAAAUUGCUGACUCAAUGGAUCUGGAUCCAGAACCAAAGUCCAUGAUAGAGUGCCGGAAGCGCUCGGACUGGGAUAUAUGGAAAGCAGCAAUUGAGGCUGAGUUGCGCUCGCUUUGCCAAAGAGAGGUUCUUGGGCCUGCAGUCCCAACACCUCCAAAGGUCAUCCCUGUAGGAUGCAAAUGGGUUUUCAUCCGGAAGAGGAAUGAACAUGGUGAGGUGGUAAGAUACAAAGCGAGGCUAGUGGCACAAGGGUUCACGUAGAGACCCGGCAUCGAUUAUGAUGAGACUUACUCUCCUGUUAUGAGUGGCAUAACGUUCUGAUAUCUUAUAUCUAUGGCAGCUAACUUGAAUUUGAAAAUGCAGUUGAUGGAUGUUGUGACUGCAUACUUGUAUGGGUCACUUGAUUCGGAAAUAUACAUGAGAGUCCCUGAAGGACUCAAGAUCCCUGGACCGAAUCAAAACCGCAACAUGUUCAGCGUCCGCUGUUGACACUUGCUAACACCACUUUGAAUACUAGGUUGUCAUCCCUAGCAUGGCACUAGAGUGUACUAUGGUAUUUAUACGCACACAGAUAAUCCGCAAGCGCACGGAUACCGUUGAAGCUUUUACCCGGUUAAAGGUUUUAUCGUAUCCACAGGGAAACGAGAGAAGUGAUCUACGCUCUAACUUAACCAAGAUAAGUAAAUAGGAAAGAUGGUAGAAUCGAAUAAGAACAAUAUUAAAGGUAAGAUAACAGUGAGGGAUAAUAUGGGAAUAGAGAGUAUAGCAAUUCUAGUAUAUGGGCGAUGGUAGCAGAUUAGAGAGGAUAACUAUGGUUUCUCUACUUCAAAGGGGUAUGUCUAUGUCUGGGACGAACCACGUGAUAAGAAUACACCACAAAGGAUGCUUAUCCAUAGGCUGAUAAACCCUACCUGUCCUGCUAACGAGAGGUGGACUACAGAGGACCAACGUAACUGUCACCUACGCGGCCUACCUCACGAUCCAGCUAGACAGGGGAUAUCCACAAGUAAUCUAGGUCUAAGCACCACGCUUACACCAAUACUACAACUCUAACCUAUAGGGUCCUAUAGAUUAGAAGUACUCAAAAGAGUUGUGAACCAGAACAUACAUGAUUAGUAAUUGCAUAAUGAAUUAGAAGUAGAUUACCAUGGUCAUCCCCUGAGCAAGCUUGAUUAGAGCUUGAUCAUGAUGAAGUACAACCGGAGAAAGAACCGACAGGCCGGCCUCUCCUCUAAUCCUCCUUCGCUCUCCAUCUCGCUACUAUCUAGAUCUACUCUAGUUUAGAGAAGAGAGGAGAGCUCUCAUGUCCAAACCCUAGCUUUUGCUCUUUUUAUGAAUAAUGAAUAAUGAUCAAGGGGUGUGCCUCCUCCAGGGGCCAGGGGGUCUGGUUAUAUAGUCCCCUCAAGUGAACCUGGGCCGUUGGAUGAAACCGACAUUGAUUGAACGGUUAUUCUUGAUCCUUUAGGUCGGUGGAGCAUAAUCCAUGAGAUUGAGCGUGAUUGGCCACUGUAGCAGGGCGGGCGCCUAAGGGGGGUGGGCGGGCGCCCUGCCCCCGAGCCCGCUCGGCCUCCCGUUCGUUCUCGUGGCUUCUGGAGUCUUCUAGAUGGUAGAAAAUUGCGCGGCACGUUAAUAUCUCUAUGUAAACCCGAUGUGUGGGCCUUUCCUCCGUAUUUCCUGAUAACCCCCUACAGAAAUAGACAAACACCAAAACUUGUGGAAUUCUGUCAGAUAAAACCCUAAGUCUGGGUGUUGGUUGCAUUUGGAUCCUUUUCUUUAUUUAUUUGAUGAUUAUAUUUGGUACUUAAGGACCGUCAACAACUCCCCCAAGCUUACCUCUUGCUCGUCCCUAAGCAAGGAUGGACUCAAGAGUUUCUGCAGUGGUUUUAUGCCUUAAAGGUACACAUGCGUUUAAACAAGAUAUUAUCUCUAGGUUAGGGUAAACUGUUAAGAUUUAAACUUACUCAUAUUACCUUCCACCAUGGGGCUUGCAACUGUCAGUUGUGUCUUGAGCAGUUAAAAGAUAGAACGGUCAAGUCAAGCGCCAUGUUUCUUAUUCUUGAUCAGCUAUAGCUCUGGAGUUUUUGUAGAUUUUCAAAUAAAACUCAGAGAUUCCUUGUAUGACACUCUCUACUCUCUCUUUUGUGGUAUUUCUGGAUCCUUACCAAGGCAGUGAUGAUAUACACCUUUCCUCAAAGUAUGUAGUAUUUGUGGUAUGAGGCAUAGUGAUAUUGCCUUCUCUCUCACCCUACUCUAAUAAGGUUUGAUAUCUGGAGCUCAUAGGUGGGAGACAGCUGAUACAUACUUACAAGACAUUUAUUGCAUAGUCAAACCAUGGAUCCAGAGAAACAAGUCAAUAAGUCAAAUCAAGAUGUGCAUGUGUGGCGAAUGAUUGGUGUAUGGUGAUAACUGUGAAAAUAAUGGUGAAAGUCUAAUUCUACUUUUGCUCUUUUGAGGGGAUACAUACCUUUCUUGUACUUUGAAGCUUUUUGAGGGGAAUGAGAUGCUCUAUAUUUUAUUUUUCUUUUCUCUCAGGUGGGUAUCUUGUACCCCUAAUUCUACUAUCGUACACUUGUCCAUUUUUACCUCUCGUCUCACUUUCUCUUUUCUUCGAGGUUUCGGCCACUUGCCCCUUUUUAUUUCCUCGUAUUAUUAUUUUUUUUUUCAGAGCACUCACCCUGCUAGAAUAAUGUAGCAAGUGGUAGUAACCAAAAUAUCAAGAGCAUUUAUUUCACGGGGAAAGGUAAAAUCGGUAAUUAUCCAUAUUUAUCCUUUCUACAUUCCCUUUUCCCUUUUAUUAUUUACUUUCCUUAAAUAGCUUGUUAAUUAAUCAUGCUAUCUUGAAAAGAAAUUAAAAAUGUUAAAAACAGUAAGCCCCAUGUGAGUAUGCUCGUGGCAUAAAACCCAUAAGUACGUUCACUGUGGUGGCGUAAAAAUAAAAUAAAUAUAUUCCUAUCAUAUAAAAAUGAAAAUAUAAAAAUAAAUUUAUGAUCCUACCAAAGAGAGUAAUAUUUAUUGGAGGAGGCUCAACAUGAUAAAGGCUAGAUAUUUAUGCUAACACUUAACUAGUUCCACAAAGCUUUAUUGUCUAUUUGAGCUCCACAGAAUUCAAGGAUCAAAGAAGACUAGCAGACGGAGGACGUCCUAAUCGCUGUGAGGGUACUGCCGACAUUCAAAUACACCUCCACCACCUGCUAGCUACAUCAGAAGAAAUUACGUCAAAAUCCAGCUUGGGGGAGAGCACCCCCAUUUAUCCAGCUAAGUGUUUCUACUCGCAUUUAUACUUUAGUCAAAUAAUAAAAAGAUGCAUAAUCAGAAAAACCCAAAUAAAGAUUUUUGUGCUUAUAUAUAUCUUUGCUUAGUUUGCUAAAUAAAUAAAUAAAUGAAGUUUGCUAUGAACCCUCAUGAUAAGCUCUCACAUAGAAAUGAUGAAUAGUUGCUCUGCCAUGACUAGUUCUCAAAAUUGAAAUCUCUCUCAAGUUUAGUAUCUAAAGUCUAAGUCGUUGACGGAUAUGAUAUGGGAAGGUUGAGCUGCUAUUUAUCUAUUCCUAGAGAUGCUAGAAUUUUGGAGAAUUUUAUCUUUGAAAAUCUUUAAAAUGUUGCAUGAUGAGUUCUUGUAUGAUGAGAGUUUAAAAUCCUACCACAGCCACAUAUACAUGCUUAUUAGACUAUGAACCAUACAUUUACUUUUUACUAAUUAUGAGCAUUGAGUGUGGUCAAGCUGUGUAGACCCUUAGGAGCUUGUCAUGCGGUUAAAAUCAAAAUUCACUUGCACGUUCACUAAUACAUGCUGCUUCUACUCCGAAAGUACGCAUCCACAUACAUCCACUCAUUUCCAUCUCCAGAUUCACCCAAAAUUAUUCUACUCCUAUCCAAGAGAGAAUAGCCAAAAACAUUAUCUUAUCCCUGUUAUUCCCCGUGAAAUAAAUGCUCGAGGUAUUUUGGUUACUACCACUUGCUACAUUAUUCUAGGAGGGUGAGUGCUCUGAAAAAAAGAAGAAAGAUACGAGGAAAUAAAAAGGGUCAAGUGCCCGAAACCUCGAAGAAAAGAAAAAGUGAGACGAGAGGUAAAAAUGUACAAGUGUCUGACAGUAGAAUUAGGGGUACAACAUACCCACCUGAGAGGAAAGAAAAAAAAUAAAUAAUAUAGAGCAUCUCAUUCUUCUCAAAAAUCUUCAAAAGAGCAAGAAAGGUAUGUAUCCCCUCAAAAGAGGAAAAAGUAGAAUUAGACUUUCACCAUUGUUAUCACCAUACACCAUUCAUUCGCCACACAUACACAUCUUGAUUUGACUUAUUGACUUGUUUCUCUGUAUCCAUGGUUUGACUAUGCAAUAAAUGUCUUAUAAGUAUGUAUUAGCUUUCUCCCACCUAUGAGCUUCAGAUAUCAAAACCGUAUUAGAGUAGGGUGAGAGAGAAGGCAAUGUCACUAUGCCUCAUACUACAUAUACCAUAGGCUUUGAGAGAAGGCAUAUACCAUCACUGCCUUGGUAAGGAUCCAGAAAUACCACAAAAGAGAGAAUUGAGAGAGUCAUACAAGGAAUCUCUAAGUUUUAUUUGAAAACUUGCAAAAACUCCAGAGCUAUAGUUGAUCAAAGAACAAGAGACAUGGUGCUUGACUUGACCGUUCUAUCUAUUAACUGCUCGAGACACAAGUGACGGUUGCAAGCCCCAUGGUGAAACGUAAAAUGAGUAAGUUUUAAGUCUUAACAGUUUACUUUAACUCAGAGAUGAGAUCUUGUUUGAACGCAUGUGUACCUUUAAGGCAUAAAACCACUGCAGAAACUCUUGAGUCCAUCCUUGCUUAGGGACGAGCAAGAGGUAAGCUUGAGGGAGUUGUUGACGGUCCUUAAGUAUCAAAUUUAACUAUAAAAAAAUAAAGAAAAGGAUCCAAAUGCAACCGACAUCCAGACUUAGGGUUUUAUCUGACAGAAUUCCACGAGUUUUGGUGUUUGUCUAUUUCUACAGGGGGUUAUCAGGAAUUAUGGAAGAAAGGCCCACACGUCGGGUUUACAUAGAGAUAUUAACGUGCCGCGCAAUUUUCUAUCAUCUAGAAGACUCCAGAAGCCACAGGAACGAACGGGAAGCCGAGCAGGCUCGGGGGCCGGGCGCCCACCCUCCCCCCUUGGGCGCCCGCCCAGCUACAGAGUCCAAUCAGGACUCGUUUCGUAGAUUAUGCUCCACUGACCUAAUGGAUCAAGAAUAACCGUUCAAUCAAUGUCGGUUUGAUCCGACGGCCCAGAUUCACUUGAGGGGACUAUAUAAGCAGACCCCCUAGCCCCUGGAGGAGGCACCCCUUGAUCAUUAUUCAUUAUUCAUAGACAGAGCAAAAGCUAGGGUUUGGUGAUGAGAGCUCUCCUCUCUUCUCUAAACUAGAGUAGAUCUAGAUAGUAGCGAGAUGGAGAGCGAGGGUGGAUUGGAGGAGAGGCCGGCCUUUCGGUUCUUACUCCCGUUGUACUUCGUCAUGAUCAAGCUCUAAUCGAGCUUGCUCAUGGGAUGACUCUGGUAAUCUACUUCUAAUUCAUUAUGCAAUUACUAAUCAUGUAUGUUCUGGUUCACAACUCUUUAUUGAGUACUUUAAUCUAUAGGACGCUAUAGGUGAGAGUUGUAAUAUAGGUGUAAGCGUGGUGCUUAGACCUAGAUUACUUGUGGAUAUCCCCUGUCUAGCUGGAUCGUGUGGUAGGCCGCGUAGGUGACAGUUACAUUGGUCCCCUGUAGUCCACCUCUUAUUAGCAGGACGGGUAGGGUUUAUCGGCCUAUGGAUAAGCAUCCUUUGUGGUGUAUUCUUAUCACGUGGUUCGUCCCACACAUAGACAUGAACCUUUGAAGUAGAGAAAUCAUAGUUAUCCUCUCUAUUCUCCUACCAUCGCCCAUAUAUUAGAUUGCUCUACUCUCUAUUCCCAUAUUAUCACCAAUUGUUAUCUUACCUUUAAUAUUGUUAUUAUUUAAUUCUACCAUCUUUCCUAUUUACACCUAUCUAUCUAUCUUGGUUAAGUUAGAGCGUAGUUGGUUCUCCUGUUUCCCUGUGGAUACGAUAAAACCUUUAACCGGGUAAAAGCUACAAUGGUAUUCGUGCGCUUGCGGAUUUAUCUGUGUGCGUAUAAAUACCAUAGUACACUCUAGUGCCAUGCUGGGGAUGACAACCUAGUAUUCAAGUGGUGUUAGCAAGUGUCAACAGUAGACAGAAGCGGGCAUCACACUGACACUUGCUCCAAGGUCACAGAGUGCAUUGUUGAAAUGUUGAUCUCCAAUUGUGCAUUCGAUAGUCGGACAUCCUGGAUCCAUUUUCUUUUCUGGUAACUUGUUGAGGAUGGCCGCACUAUAUUCUUCUAUGAGCUUGAUUACUUCAGUGGAAUGUAGAGGUCUGUUCUUGUUGAGAAUGUCUCUAAUGUACUUGGCAUAUGUAGGGACCUCUAUGGCAUUUAACAGAGGUAUGUUGAUCUAUAAUUUUUGAAGUACCUCCAUGAACUUACUAAACUGCUCAUCUACUUGUUGUGGUCUUCUAUUCUGACGACGAAAUGGUAGGUAAUUGGUGUCUUGAAAAUCUUGUCUCAUCUCGUGGUCUUGGACCGGUUGUGGUAGUGUGUCUUUAAGAAUGUUGUUCUCAUUGUGCACCAUUGUUCGUAAUGUUGACGGCAUUGGCAAUGGUCUUUUGGUACCUUUUGGGUAGGGAGGAUCUUUGGUAGAACUUCCUCUUCUUGUAGUGAUAUUCUUUACCUGCUCAGGGUUAUUGGCAACAAGCAACGCAGCAGCCAACUGUGCUAUUUUUGCUUCUAUCUUUUUAUUAUACUCAAGUUGGGCAUUAAUGGCAAAUGAGAAACUAUCCAUUUUUUAUCAUUAUUAGCAAGCCUAGCUAUAAUGUCAAGGUUGAUUUUAGAUUGCUACAUAAUUAUCUCUCUUAAAGAAGUUGCUUUGUAAAAUUACCUAAAUUCAUACCUUGGCUAUUUUGAUGUUGUCUCCAAGUUGGUUGAUGUGGAAUUUUCCUGAUGGUAGGACUUGUAACAGAACCGCCCAAUUCACAAGAGAUCAACUAUGAAAAACUCCCGCCAAAGCAGUCGCUUUAACAUAAUCGAAUUCUCAUAAACCCGGUAGUCCGUGAAAUCACGAGGGAUUUCAAUCCAACCAUCUUACAAGCCAUGAUCUUACUCCUCUAAUAUGGUACGAGUCAUCCAACUCUUGCAGUGGCCAUGAUACAUCACAACCUGCAACAAGUGGGAAUAAACCCUGAGUACGAGAAGGUACUAAGCUAGACUUACCCGUCAUAAACUAGAAAUAAUAUGACACCAAGGAGUAUGCAAGGCUUUAUUGGUGGAGCUAGCUUGACAACACUUUUUCCAUAAAAAGCUUAAGUUGUAACUAAGUAACCUUUCAGGUAUUUAGCUCAAGUUAAUAAUCAUUAACCUAUCAUCUAGAUUAGCACCUGUACUAAAGCAAUCACUUGAUUAAGAUACAACCAUAGUACCCAUAUUUGUUGUGGCAUUACCAACAUCAUCAUACCAUAACCAUCCAAGUGUUCCAUAAACAUUACUACGACGACAAAGCUCAAGUCAAGUGCUCACUGUCCAGGAGCGAUGGCGAUUCGAAUCGAUUUCUAACCAGCUGGCGAGUUUAUUCCCCACACAAACCACACUCACUGAUCAAGUGAGCUAUAGAUCACCGUAUUGCACUAUCCAGGACCAAUUCGCGGGUUCGACAGGCACCGCCCGUACCCGAGGACCGUUCCGACGACCGAGGUAUCCAAGGUAUACCAAGGUUGCGCGUCGCGCCCUCGUCGUUCACCUCAACCAUCACCAAUACAGCGCGUACAUCGGGCCGAUUCCCGGCCCGGAUAGUGCUCAGGCUUCACGGUCGGAAUGACUUAUCCUUCCACCUAAGUGUGGGCCAUGCGUUCAACAUGACAAGAGGGCCGUCAACGAUCGGUCCUUAAUCGACACAGGCGGGGAUAGAUAGGCACCCAAGACCUCCAUGUCUUGUUACUUCUCUAUCAUCGUCCCGCCCGGUCUCCAAUUACUCAUCCUCAUCACUUGGUUAUUUCCAUGAUAGCAUAUAUAGCCAACCUUUUCAGGUAUCCACCUAUCUCGCUCAGGUGACAGGACAUCACCUGGCUUCUACCGGUCUAAGCAUGACUAAGCAUUUAGAUUCGAUCCCGAAUCUACAUAGGGUUAUAGGUAUAUUUGCUGGACAAGGAGUGAUAUAUGCAGCAAGGGUUUCACCGAACUCCUAUACUUAAUGCAACAAUACAUAUAUAACAUAUAUUCUCAAUUGCAUUCAAAAGUAGUGGGAGACUUAUAAUGCUCGGGGGCUUGCCUGGAAUCAUCACUGAGUUAGUUCAGUUAGUUGCUCCGUCUUGGUGACAUCUAAGGUCACAACACUUGCUUAGUCCUUCCACCUUUAGGGUGGGUCCACCCAACACCGUCUUCGGGUUUGUUGCCACACCAAGACCUUCACGUGAUUUAUCUAGCGCACCUAGAUGAGAUGCAAGAUGCAAGUGCGUGAAUAUAAAGAAUAAUAACACAACAUGCAACACAUAAAAGUAUGCAAGACAUAGGUAUCUAAAGUUAUUUAGAUAACAUCACACAACCAGUUAUAUAGAGCAAACAUAUCAAUCAUGACACAAGUUUAACAAGUUUACAAGUGUAUUACUUAGUCACCAUUAUAGACAUGAAUCAUACUUAGAUCACACAAAGUAAAGCAAUCAAGCAUUCAUGUAUUUCAGCAAUUCUGGACAUCAUGCAACAACUCAGUAAAUAAAUCAUAACUGGAGUUACACAACUCCAAAAACUAUGCAAUAGGACAUUCUGGAAAGAUUAUCAAAUUAUCUACAAUUCAUCUUUAAUCAUAUUAGCAUGAUUAACAAGUUAACGAUGUCAAACAUGCAUGACCAUAUAAUCUGGUCCAGGAACUUCCAGAGAACAAGCAUUUCAAAGGAUGAACUUCAUACUACUGUAACUCAUAAACCACUUAUCUGAAUGAGAUGAAAAUUUACCACAAUAUAAAUUAGUGAAUUAUCUACAUCUUUUCUAUAUACAAGUUUCACAGCAAACAUCAUUUAUAUCAUGGAAUUAAUCGCAUAACUAAAACUGCUCAUGCUGCCAAACAGUAGAGGUACAAUUACACAUAGAAAACUGAUUGUCACUUCAAAGCAGCAUAACUGGAGUUGUAGACCUCCAGCAAACAUGAUUCUUAUAUCUUUGGAAAGCUUAUAACGUUACCUACAACUUUCUUAUUAUCAUCUAAAUAUGAAUCUACAGUUAACAAGGUCAAUUAAUCCCAUGAAGAUAUCUCUGUCCAAAACAUAGACAGAAUCUGUCAUGCUACAUUAAACACCCAUAACUUGAGUUUCACAUGUCCAUAAAUUAUGGUUAUAUACUUUCUAGAAACCUUAAUUAAUUGUGAACAACUUUGUUAUAAACAUGUAUAGCUAAAUCUACAACUAAAAAGGUCUUACUUUACAAACAAUGCAACCUGUCUGGGUUUAGACAGAAACUGGAACAAUAAUUUAAACCACUAUAACUAAACAUGUGCUUAACCAAAAAUUGUGCUAUAUACCUUUCUGGAAAGCUUAUGAAAAGUACUAUAACUUAUAUAUUUUCAUUAAGGCAUGAUUCACAACUUAACUGAGCCAAACAAUACAAACAUGCAGACCUAUUCAGAAUAGGAGCAAAGCAACAAAGGGCAGUUGUUAUUUUUAGAACUCUUAAUCUAUCAAUCCUAAAAUCAUGAAAAGUUUACCAGACAUCAAGCAUCAUAUGAAAAGCAUGUCACAAUAUUUUCACAUUUAUUUGGGCAAUAACACAGCAGUUAUGAAAAAGAAAAUUAUAACAAGCAAUUAAAACCUAACUGCUUAAAUCUAUUUUUACGACUAAAACUUCAAACAAAACCAUGACAUAUUAUAGAUCUAAUGCAUAGAGAAUUUUAUAAGGAUUCCAAAAAGUCUACAUUUGCUAUUUUUCAAAUUUUCUAUGAAUUACUAUACAUUUCCAAAGUUCAUACAAGAAAUCUGCAAAAACAAAAGAUAAAGGAAAACAACUUUGCAUCGGGAACCCUAAACUUUAUCCGAAUCAACCCGCCGUCCAGAGCAGAGUCUUGGCUUCGCAUCUGGAACCCUGAGGUUUACCCUAUUUCCACCCGAGGUCCUCUGUCUUCUUCCUGUGAGUGACUGGACGAACAGGUUACGAACCGUAACAGCAUCCGCAUUGGCCAUGGCCAAGCACGGCAGGGAAGGGCACCACGGCGGCGCAGCGAUGACCAGCGAGGCAAAGGCAACCUCAAUGUCGCGCGCGGCAACUCUGGCCUGCCCAGCAGUGCUCGGUGGCGGCAGUAGGCGAAGCCAUGGCGGCGGUGGCGUGGUUCUUGGCCAGGGAGCGAGCGAAGGAGAUGGGGAUGAAGCUGAGGGAGUAGAGGAGACCGGGGAGGGCACUCUGGUGCUCGUCGGGUCAUCCCCAUCCACACAGAUAGAGGCAAGGGCGAGGUGGAGGUGGCAGCCAUGGUGGGACAAGUUCUGCUGCAUGGUGACCACGUCGUCAUUUCGUCAAACACGUGGCGGAUAGCAAGGUAGAGAAGGUGGGACGCCGGUUUGAGCCACUUCUGGGCCGAAUUGGACCUUGGGCCAAAGUGGAGGUUUGUUCAUCUCGCCGUGCUCUAUAACUUUGAUUAAGAGACCAAGGUCAUUAGACCAAAAGAUUAGGAGAUAACUUGAUGUCAAGUCACGAGUGUCAACGUAUUGACGGUGAUUAGCAAAACCAAUAAUUGAUGGUCCAAACCUUGUCAAACAUGAUGCAACUUUUCACAUUACCUUCUCCAAGUAAUUGUCCACCACUUUUAUUCUUGGACUAACUUGAGUUGCUUAACAAAAACACGAGAACGCGGCAUGCCAACGGGUCAAUGUCCGUUUAGCAAUAAAAUAACUUUUUGCUGUUUUGGGAGCUACUUUUAGAUAUCCAAAUGAACUCCAAAUUUGAUGAUACUUGAUCCAUUGGUUUCAUGAAGAAGAGUACUCCAACUCAUAUUAAGGAAUCUAAUUGAGUUACCAUAUGAAUUUGGAUAAUAAAAUGUCACAAAGAAGCUAACUUGCUGCUGUACUUCCAAGGACUUAGAAUUAUUUUUCAGGGCUAAAAAGCAGCAACUGAUUCGAACUUUGAGCCUCUGUUUGAGCUAUUUUAAAACUGAUUUUUUUCUUGACUCUUGAAUGAAGUUUCUUCUACAGAAGCAAAACUACAACUUUUAUUUAGGGUCAAACCUCAUAACUGCAACAGAAGUCAAUCUUUCACUUUGGUCAAUGCAGUAACCCGAUAAAGCUCCAAAUAGGAUUUUAGGCCAAUUGAAGCAUUUUCUUGACAUAAGCUCAACAUGAAUCCUUCAUGACUUUUGUUGUAUAAUUCAUCUAGAGUCAUAUGAGCAAGUUUGGAAGGUUUGGUUCAUGACCCAUGAUUCUAUUUCCUUAAUAGAGUCAUUCCAACAAGGAUAUAACUCAUCAUUUCAUGUGACUUCUUGAUUCCAAACUUCACCAAACUUUUCUAGAGACCAAUAUAGAUUGGGAUGGAUAUGAGACACAUGAAAAAUGUUCCACUAACACCAUCCAAGCAUACCUUUCAAAAAGAGCAUAUAUGUAAGUAAAGGUGCAUCAUCCAAGUCCAAGUUAGGGCUUACUUUCAUAGAUUGACUUUGACCUUUUUAUUGCCAUUGAACUUGUCAUGUUUGAGCUCAAACCUAGUACUUACCAAGUGACAAACACCUGGGGUGUUACAGCCUUCCCUCCUUAAAAGAAUCUCGUCCCGAGAUUCGGUGCAAAAGACUUGCAAGGGAAGAAAACAAUGUCACACAUUUUCCAACAUUAACGAUAGAAGUGGGUGACUUAGCUUAGAGCAUCAGAAAAGCUAACUUGAUCCAAACAUUUUCUGAUACUUGCCCUUCAUAGUAAACCUUUAUCUGGAGAAUCUCCUCUUUUGUUUGACUUCAGUGAAGCAUUGUUACAUUGGGAGGAAUCCAAGACAACACUGUUCCAUGUACUUUGUUCCUAGUUGUUUAUAGCAUAAGGGGCUACUUGUACCAUUAGCUUCUUUAGUGAAACUAAUGCAAGCCAUAUGAACUUCACACCAGGUCACAAGCCUCUAAGGGUUGCUCAUUAUAGAGGUUCCAGGCUCAUUCACAAGAUUUGAAAAGCAGCCCUCUACCAACAUGGUUGGAUUACAACUUUCCACGCAUGCAGUUCUCUUUCUCUGAUGACAACAUUGUACUUACCACCUGGUUAAGAGAACGGUGAAUGUGAUAGCUGACUCUGUUGGUUUCACGCCUUCCAUGAUCAUUUACUUUAAUGGGAUUCUUGUAUCCAAACAACAACAGUUAUUUAGGUCGGAUCAGAUGUAACUUCUUGGGCAAUACAUAGAAGGUAACCAAGGCAUGUAAGAAUUAGAUAACCACUACUGACAAAGGAUGAUAGUGGGGCCUAUAGGUCUUCAACUGCUGCAAGUGUUCAACCAACUAAAGAAAUAAUUUACCACCAAGUAGGUUAAGCAUUACCUUUCUUCAUGAUGCAGUUGCAUAAGAGUUAGGUUGACUUGUUCCAUAGCAAAACCAAUCCAUUGGAACUACUUUUCCCUUUAUGGCUUCCUUUUUAGGAUCAGUCGGUAGCUCUGAUAUUGAAAAUCUAUUGAUUGACACCUUUCCAAAUGUUUCUAGCUCACACUAGCACAACUGGGUACAAAGAAUCUUGUUUCAUCAUAUAAGCACUAUCUAUACAGCAAGACAUUGCCCAUAUUGUAAUCUAUGGCACCAAAACAAACACCACUCACAUUUCCAUGAAAUUUGGUAGAAUUAUUCAUCCAUGAGUCUUCCAACCUUUGAUCAAAAUUCAGCUCAAACGGGCACCAUUUGUGUAGGUAGAACAUAUACAUACUAAACUUGUUUGAUGCUGAAACGGCAGUGUUCCGUUCCGGACUGCCAAGACAUCUCUCAACUCUAAAGAUUGAUUCACUAGUUGAUGAAAUAUAUCCUUCAUGGCUAUCAAUCCAUCGUUUCCUUGCUUGAGAUUAGCCUUGUUACUAGCAACCAAUCCAUUGGCUCUCAGCACUAAAAUUUCCAAAGCUCCACUCUUAACCACAAUAAUUGCGGUUGACGCUUAACCAUUAGUCACCCUCAAAGAUAGGAGAUAAGGAUUCAUGAUAAAGAAGGAUGACUUUAGUUGUAUCACCAUGAUGCACAUAAAGAUCAAGACUUAGGAAAACUAGAUCAUAAGCACAAUGGUGAUGACUGAUGCUUGUUCAAAAAAUAACUUGUCCAACAUUAAGUGUCGUGCGUCCUUUGAUUCGGCGUCGAUGACCAAUGUUGCUCAUUAAAUGACCAUCAUCAUUGUAGGAAUAGUUAAAUAGUAUCACUUGUCUACCAUCUCUUAUAGUCUGUUAAUGUUUAUGUCAGUGUCCUGUUCUUCAAAGGUAAUCCUCUUUGUAACAUCAUAGGAAGUUCUCUUACUUGCACGUGAAGUAAGGAUCUUCUGAUCAAAUCUAGAUAGAUAAUUAAGGACAAACUCAUGAUGAGAUGACACAUUGGUGUAGUUCUAUAAUAGAGCGUGGCUAGCAACAACGAUACCAGUGCGUGCCGAGCAGCACAACCAUGUGUCGGCCGCCACAAGGGUCUCUCGGUUUCGUCACGGCACCGUUAAUCAUUAACCAAGACACCAUUACCGAACAUACAAUCCAAAAGAAAUCUGUCAUGGCAAAAAUUGAGUUACAUAGCAGCGAGCACUUUACAAAAGAGGGGUAUCAAACUGAGAUAGUCAUAAGAUUAGAGGUCCACAAGGAGGUGAUUUAAAGAUUAAACAUAGUACUAGAGAACAUAGAUCACAUGAGAUUAAGACGGAUAAACACCUAGAGACUCAAGAGAGUUGGAGAUAAAACAAUUGAGAUUUGAAAGAUUGAGUCAAUACACAGAUUAGGGGAUGGAUACACAACAUUCAAGAGCUAACAACCAUGCACAAACUCAAGCUCUUUAUCAUUGGAAUCUACUUGGAGAUAACCAUGAGAUUAAAGUGACAUGAGUGUUAUUCUAAGAUAAGGCUCUUCAAUACUCGCAUGCUUACUAAGGACAAAAAGGUAACAACUACGACACUACCUGAUUAACAACACAUCUACUCAUGCAUCAUGGUUUUAAACAAACAUGUGAGAACAUGAAUCACACUAUCUCCAACAAUCGUUACUAAGCACAAGGUUUUGUAGAUAACAAGCAGACAUCUAAAGCAACACUAGUACACGUGAACAUACAAAACAUGGUGGUAAGGUGUUUUUAUCUUUCACUUUCUUUUACUAGAAAGGUGUAUGUCUCUUCUCUAGUUGUGAAAACAAAUUUUUAACUUAUGCUUAAAAGACUAGUCAUCUUAGAGAUGUGGAUCAUACUGACAGGGUGCACAGAUCAACCACAACAUGAGCAAAACAAAGCUAAUCACACCUUAUCUUCAAUUAUAGCUAUUCAAGAAACAUGGAGCAAAGCAUUGUAUCUAACUGCACACAAGCAAGGUGACACACAUUGAUUCACAAGUUAUUUAUUACUAGAACAAGGGUGAGAGAAGCAUAGUUAUACAUAAGGCAACAAUCAUGAUAAUGCAUGCUUCGUCCUAUUCGUCCUCACAAAAUUGCCAGCCUAAGGUGGCAAUCACGUUCUAUGUCGGUGGCAUAACACGUACACUCUCGACAUAUAGCUAGUCGUAAUAUUCAAUUUACGCAUCCGUGGUUAGUGUACCUGCAGAAAAUUCAUUUCAGCCCACCCACAGUAUGAAACAUGCAGUACAAGAUUAAAAAGCUAUGCGCUCCACACACGUGUAUCCCCAUACCCGUAUGUGUAGUGUUACUACCCACAUCAUCGUCCUAGUGAUGGCAUCGCCUCUAAGGACGGAAUCACCCAUCAUGCUAUCACAACUCACACUUACUGAGGCGUAGAGGAAAAAUGAUCCAUACAUUACCAUUCAAAUGAAUGGCACUCAUACUAUUGCACGCCGUAUGAGCAACGAAAUAGAAAUAUGAUGCAGAAACCCCCAAGUCAGUACUUAAAUAAGCCACCUAAGGAUCC
rnacentral:lncRNA from 1 species